AUGUCAGAUCGAAAUCCUGAGGGCACACAGAGGCGUAGCCCACAUGUGAAAGUUGGUUCCCAACCUGGUAAUAGCAAAGCUGAUGGGGAUAGUGUUGCUGUGAAAAUUGGUCCAAACAAACUUGGUGGCUCCCCUGUUCGUCGGAGUCCACGAGGUUUGACAAAUAGGAAUCCUUCUUCAUCUCCUCUUCAAGAGCGGUCUUUGUUGAAAGAAAAUAAGAAGCGUAAAGUUCAUCCUGCAAAGGUGAACAAAGGUGUGAAGAAGCGUGCUCAUGUCGAAGCUGAAGAUGUUGUAUCUGAAGAAGGUGAUAUUGAAGUUUAUUCUGAAGAUGAAUUUGCAGUGCCUGUUAGCGUUAUGAGUCCGGUCAAGCCGGUGGGAGGCAAUGCCGGAAAAGUUGCCUUGGAUGAAGGUGACCAACGGAAAUUGAACUUAACUGUGCGAUGUUCGUUGAGAGAGGUUGAAGCUUGUGCUAAAUUGCUCGAGAGUUGGGUGAAGUCUAACAUUUCCCGACCUCUGAUGGGAGUUUUGUACCUGAGGUUAGAUCCCGAUACAAUGACUCUUGACAUGGGUGAGGCUAAUAAGAAGCUUCGCAUCACUAGCGAUGGUAUACAUCAAUUAUUUGGUUUCCCUCGUGGUGGUCGUUCUGUGCCAAGGACGUUAGAGGACGGAUAUGACGACGCUCUGAUGAAGUUAAGAACGGAGCUUGACAUUAGUAGGAACAAAGAAAUCAGUACAAAGGAUUUGAGGAAUAAGCUCAAGUUGCUCAUCAAGGAUCCUAGCAAAGAUGACCUUGCUCUGGAAGUGUUCUUCAUUAUUGUGUUUAUGAAGGUUGUGUUGCCUGGUUCUGCCCUGCGUGUUUCAAGAGAGGCAGCAAUGUUUGAGGGCCUCGUCUUUGAGGACGAACAUGGCUAA
rnacentral:rRNA from 1 species